UACGUAGGGCGCAAGCGUUGUCCGGAAUUAUUGGGCGUAAAGAGCUCGUAGGUGGCUUGUCACGUCGGGUGUGAAAGCUUGGGGCUUAACUCCAGGUCUGCAUUCGAUACGGGCUGGCUAGAGGUAGGUAGGGGAGAACGGAAUUCCUGGUGUAGCGGUGAAAUGCGCAGAUAUCAGGAGGAACACCGGUGGCGAAGGCGGUUCUCUGGGCCUUACCUGACGCUGAGGAGCGAAAGCGUGGGGAGCGAACGGG
rnacentral:rRNA from 1 species